UACGUAGGGUGCGAGCGUUGUCCGGAAUUAUUGGGCGUAAAGAGCUCGUAGGCGGUCUGUCGCGUCGAUCGUGAAAACUUGGGGCUUAACCCUGAGCUUGCGGUCGAUACGGGCAUGACUGGAGUUCGGCAGGGGAGACUGGAAUUCCUGGUGUAGCGGUGAAAUGCGUAGAUAUCGAGAGGAACACCUGCGGCGAAGGCGGGUAGCUGGGCCGACACUGACGCUGAGGCGCGAAAGCCAGGGGAGCGAACGGG
rnacentral:rRNA from 1 species